rnacentral:rRNA from 1 species
GAGUUUGAUCCUGGCUCAGGACGACACGCUGGCGGCGUGCUUAACACAUGCAAGUCGAACGGUAAGGCCCUUCGGGGUACACGAGUGGCGAACGGGUGAGUAACACGUGGGUAAUCUGCCCUGCACAUCGGGAUAAGCCUGGGAAACUGGGUCUAAUACCGAAUAGGACCACAGAACACAUGUCCUGUGGUGGAAAGCUUUUGCGGUGUGGGAUGGGCCCGCGGCCUAUCAGCUUGUUGGUGGGGUGAUGGCCCACCAAGGCGACGACGGGUAGCCGGCCUGAGAGGGUGUCCGGCCACACUGGGA